rnacentral:rRNA from 1 species
GACGAACGCUGGCGGCGUGCUUAACACAUGCAAGUCGAGCGGAAAGGCCCUUCGGGGUCCUCGAGCGGCGAACGGGUGAGUAACACGUGAGUAACCUGCCCCAGACUUUGGGAUAACCCUCGGAAACGGGGGCUAAUACCGGAUACGACACAGCUUCGCAUGGGGUCUGUGUGGAAAGUUUUUCGGUUUGGGAUGGGCUCGCGGCCUAUCAGCUUGUUGGUGGGGGGAUGGCCUACCAAGGCGACGACGGGUAGCCGGCCUGAGAGGGGGCCCGGCCACACGGGACCUGGGACACGCCCCGAACCCCUCCGGAGGCAGCAGUGGGGAAUAUUGCACAAUGGGCGGAAGCCUGAUGCAGCGACGCCGCGUGAGGGAUGACGGCCUUCGGGUUGUAAACCUCUUUCAGCAGGGACGAAGCGUAAGUGACGGUACCUGCAGAAGAAGCGCCGGCCAACUACGUG